rnacentral:siRNA from 1 species
AUAGAUGACGAACGAGAUGGAUAC